rfam:Candidatus Giovannonibacteria bacterium RIFCSPLOWO2_12_43_8 rifcsplowo2_12_sub10_scaffold_2635, whole genome shotgun sequence.
GAGAUACGUUGGGUGAUCGCCCCGCCAUAAUGCGCAAGCUUUAGGCGCGGGAGGAAAGUCCGAACACCAAUUUAAAAUGGCAAUGGCUAACGGCCAUGCUUUGCCAUAAUAAGCAAAGACGGAAAGUGCCACAGAGACAAUACUAACCGCGAUUAAUAUCGAGGUGAAAGGUGAAAAGUGUCCUUCAAAAGGAUUCGCUCCGGACGCAAGGUCGGAGCGUGGAAAACCCUGCCUGGUGCAAGGCCGUGCUCUCUCGAUAUAUCGACAUUUCGAAAUUUCGAGUGGGAGUGCCGCUUCAGUUUCUACCGUAAGAUAGAUUCGAGAUAAAUGAUCACACAGUCCGACUUAGGUCGGACGGACAGAAUUCGGCUUAUAGACGUAUCCAUAAA